GACGAACGCUGGCGGCGUGCUUAACACAUGCAAGUCGAACGGAAAGGCCCUGCUUUUGUGGGGUGCUCGAGUGGCGAACGGGUGAGUAACACGUGAGUAACCUGCCCUUGACUUUGGGAUAACUUCAGGAAACUGGGGCUAAUACCGGAUAGGAGCUCCUGCUGCAUGGUGGGGGUUGGAAAGUUUCGGCGGUUGGGGAUGGACUCGCGGCUUAUCAGCUUGUUGGUGGGGUAGUGGCGUACCAAGGCUUUGCCGGGUAGCCGGGCUGAGAGGGUGACCGGCCACAUUGGGACUGGGAUACGGCCCAGACUCAUACCGGAGGCAGCAGUGGGGAAUAUUGCACAAUGGGAGGAAGCCUAAUGCAGCAACGCCGCGUGCGGGAUGACGGCAUUCGGGUUGUAAACCGAUUUCGCCUGUGACGAAGAGUGAGUGACGGUAAUGGGUAAAGAAGCCCCGGCUAACUACGUG
rnacentral:rRNA from 1 species